rnacentral:rRNA from 1 species
AAGAAUUUGGCGGUGUUUUAGUCUAUUUAGAGGAACCUGUCCUGUAAUCGAUAAUCCACGUUGGACCUUACGAAAGUUUGUUUUCAAUUUGUAUAUCGCCGUUAUCAGAAUAUCUUAAAAGAGGAAUAAUUUUCUAAAUUUAAUAAUAUAAAUGAUGUCAGGUCAAGGUGCAGUUUAUAUUUUAGUAGAGAUGGGUUACAAUAAAUUUAUUUAUACGUUAAAUUGUUUGCAAUAAUGAUUUUAAGGUGGAUUUAAAAGUAAAAUAAUUAAUAAAAUUUAUUUGAUUAUAGCUCUAAAAC